UACAGAGGGUGCGAGCGUUGUCCGGAAUCACUGGGCGUAAAGGGCGCGUAGGCGGUCUCUUAAGCGUGUGGUGAAAGCCCGGGGCUCAACUCCGGGUCGGCCGUGCGAACUGGGGGACUGGAGCUUGUCAGAGGCAGGCGGAAUUCCGGGUGUAGCGGUGGAAUGCGUAGAGAUCCGGAAGAACACCGGUGGCGAAGGCGGCCUGCUGGGACAGUGCUGACGCCGAGGCGCGACAGCGUGGGGAGCAAACAGG
rnacentral:rRNA from 1 species